AGACGUCUACAUUAGAUACCCGUGUAGUCCCAGCCGUAAACUAUGCGCGUUAGGUGUAUCGGUGACCACGAGUUACCGAGGUGCCGAAGGGAAACCGUGAAACGUGCCGCCUGGGAAGUACAGUCGCAAGGCUGAAACUUAAAGGAAUUGGCGGGGAGCACCACAACAGGUGGAGCCUGCGGUUUAAUUGGACUCAACGCCGGGAAGCUCACCGGAUAAGACAGCGGAAUGAUUGCCGGGCUGAAGACUCUGCAUGACUAGCUG
rnacentral:rRNA from 1 species